rnacentral:rRNA from 1 species
CCUACGGGCGGCAGCAGUGGGGGAUAUUGCACAAUGGGGGGAACCCUGAUGCAGCGACGCCGCGUGAACGAAGAAAUAUUUCGGUAUGUAAAGUUCUAUCAGCAGGGAAGAAAAUGACAGUACCUGACCAAGAAGCCCCGGCUAACUACGUGCCAGCAGCCGCGGUAAUACGUAGGGGGCGAGCGUUAUCCGGAUUCACUGGGCGUAAAGGGAGCGCAGGCGGCACGGCAAGUCCGGUGUGAAAGCCCGGGGCCCAACCCCGGGACUGCACUGGAAACUGCCGGGCUGGAGUGUCGGAGGGGCAGGCGGAAUUCCUAGUGUAGCGGUGAAAUGCGUAGAUAUCACGCAGAACCCCGAUUGCGAAGGCAGCCUGCCAAGCCAUGACUGACGCUGAUGCACGAAAGCGUGGGGAUCAAACAGGAUUAGAUACCCGAGUAGUC